UCUUUAAUUAGCAAGGUUAACGUGAGUGGGGGAUGAAGUGGCAGCAAUGGAUAUUGAAUAAGUGUCUUAUAUGUGGGCCAAGUAAACCCUACGUGUAAAACACAAGGGGCAAGCAUGAAAUGAUCAUUUGAAAAUUGUGUUGUUCAAGAACAAUUAUGCCACAAAGGUGAUAUGUCAUCUGUUGAAAAAGUGAUUAGUAAAUCAUGGAAUGGAAAUCCACGUGGCUGGUCAAAAAAAAGAAAGGGAGGAGAAGAUAAUUAUCCCAUUACUUUAUUCGUGUAAGACAAUUAUGUGUCUAAGUUUCCUUACACGUGAUUGUCCACUAAGUGAAUGAUGAAUAUGUUUCUUUACACUAAAAAAAACAAAAAAAAAUUCUCAAUCCUUCCCAAGUUAUAUAAAACGAUUAGAUAUGCACUUUUCUGUUCCUCCACGGAUAUAACAUUCUGAUCAAAAGUAGCUCACUCAAUUGAGCAACUCUUUUCCAAUACGACUUGGAUUUCAUUCCGCUUGUCCAAGAGCUUCAUAGACCUACGAGCUCGAGAAGUAGACGUUGGACAUUAGAUAGAGUUCAAGGUAGACAGGGAGGUGAGCUUGAUCCAGAUUCUUAGUAGCUGUCAGCUGAUUGAGAGCACUCCAUUGUUCGGAGGUGCUUAUGUUUAUUCUUUUGGUUCCUUUAUGUAUUUCGCGCACGAUGGAGUCCUGUUCCGUCUAUAUGCAUAAUAUGUCAGUAGAGGCUCGUAGACGCGCAGUGUGGGUUAGAUGGUCUCACAAGAGUACUAUGUUAUAUUUGUAUAUGUUAUUUUG